AUGACGUGCUUUUCUUCUCAGAAACAGAUGAACAGGCAGAGAAGUUUGCCAAAGAGCUAGGUAAACGAUUCAAGCUUAAACAGCUUGGUGCUGUCAAAACCUAUCUAGGUGUCAAUGUUGAGCGUGCACAGGAUGGAAGUUUUUUGCUCAGCCAGAGAGGUAAAAUUGAGCAGUUGCUUCAGAAGUUCAGGAUGAGUGAUUGUGCAGGAGUGAGAAAUCCUAUGGAG